CAGCUUACACAUAAUCGCCGGCAAGCUCGGCCGUGUGUUCGGCCCAGACGGAUGUAGUUCGCACGACAACGCCUACUAGCGCGUGCGUGACAGGGACGUGACAGCCUCUUACGACAAUGGGAUCGAAGGAGCACAAGGUCUUGCAGAGUGCGUCUGAGCCAGCCAGGAUCUUUGCGGCCCGCCUAGCUUACCUAAGCAGUAUUAGCUCAUGCAGCUAGGAAGCUACCGUCAUCCGUUACUACAAUAGCCAACACUCAUCAGGGAUUAUCAGCAGUCAUCAUUUAAAAUUGCUUUCCGCUCUACGUGCGGCGUCAAAAAGUUGUUGCAUUUAUCACCGCCAUAACUGAUAUCGAGUUCGUAUGGAGAUUGUCAGCACAAAGAUGUACCCAUUUACAUUGACAUGCGAUAAUUAUGCCUUCGACGAAAAUAGCAACCUUCGGGCGAUUAUGGGAUGGCUGUUGGGUCGUACCUUCUAACAUCGUGGCUGAUCACGCCAUCUACCGCCGCCGCCGUUAUUCCGACCUAAAUAUAGAUGCUCGUCACUUUUUUGGAACCCAACUACCUGAAACGCUCUAGGUCUUUGGCAGAGCAGAGAUAAGGAUUCUCUUACCUAGUCUCGAGCCCAUACUCGGUCUCUUCCAUAUUCGUAUUGAGUUU